GAUGAACGCUAGCGGCAGGCCUAACACAUGCAAGUCGAGGGGCAGCACGUCUUCGGAUGGUGGCGACCGGCGCACGGGUGCGUAACGCGUAUGCAACCUACCUCUUACAGUGGGAUAGCCCAGAGAAAUUUGGAUUAAUACCGCAUAGUAUACAGAUUCAGCAUUGGGACUGUAUUAAACAUUUAUGGGUAAGAGAUGGGCAUGCGUUCUAUUAGUUAGUUGGAGUGGUAACGGCACCCCAAGACAGCGAUAGAUAGGGCCCGUGAGAGGGGAGUCCCCACACUGGUACUGAGACACGGACCAGACUCCUACGGAGGCAGCAGUGAGG
rnacentral:rRNA from 1 species